AUUGAACGCUGGCGGCAGGCCUAAUACAUGCAAGUCGAACGUGUGGCGGACGGGUGAGUAAUGUAGGGGAACCUGCCCGUUGGAGGGGGCUAACUACUGGAAACGUUAGCUAAUACCGCAUACCAUCGGAUUUACCCAGAUGGGAUUAGCUAGUAGGUGGUGUAACGGUUCACCUAGGCGACGAUCCCUAGCUGGUCGGAGAGGAAGACCUGCCACACUGGAACGGAUACACGGUCCAGACUCCUACGGGAGGAAGCAGUGGGGAUGAUUGGACAAUGGGCGCAAGCCUGAUGCAGACAGGCCGCGUGUAUGAAGAAGUCCUUCGGGUUGUAAAGUACGUUCAGCGAGGAGGCGUUACUCGAAGAAGAAGCAACGGCUAACUACGUGCCAGCAGCCGCGGUAACUC
rnacentral:rRNA from 1 species